ACCUAAUGUCAUAAUGAUGACUAACUUAAACAUAUCACUAAUAUUGAUUAGGAUUUAUGUGAAACACCUAAUCAGUGGCAAUCAACAAUACAUAAUGUAUUACAACUAGCAUGCUACUUAUAUGAACAUGACUUGCAUAUCAUAUAUCAUAACAUCAAAUUGACCAUUAAUUAAAUCAAUCAAGGUUGCUUUGAUACCACUGUUGGGUUUGAGUAGCACAACGAAAUAGUGGACUUCAAAAAUUUAUGAUCAUGAAAUCCUUAACACCCGAAAUCUUAGACCCA
rnacentral:lncRNA from 1 species